UACAGAGGGGGCAAGCGUUGUUCGGAAUUACUGGGCGUAAAGGGCGCGUAGGCGGCCCGCUAAGUCGAACGUGAAAUCCCCGGGCUUAACCCGGGAACUGCGUCCGAUACUGGCAGGCUUGAAUCCGGGAGAGGGAUGUGGAAUUCCAGGUGUAGCGGUGAAAUGCGUAGAUAUCUGGUGGAACACCGGUGGCGAAGGCGGCAUCCUGGACCGGUAUUGACGCUGAGGCGCGAAAGCGUGGGGAGCAAACAGG
rnacentral:rRNA from 1 species